UACGGGGGGGGCAAGCGUUGUUCGGAAUUACUGGGCGUAAAGGGCUCGUAGGCGGCCAACUAAGUCAGACGUGAAAUCCCUCGGCUUUACCGGGGAACUGCAUCUGAUACUGGAUGGCUUGAGAUUGGGAGAGGGAUGCGGAAUUCCAGGUGUAGCGGUGAAAUGCGUAGAUAUCUGGAGGAACACCGGUGGCGAAGGCGGGUCUCUGGGCCGAUACUGACGCUGAGGAGCGAAAGCGUGGGGAGCGAACAGG
rnacentral:rRNA from 1 species